AUUGAACGCUGGCGGCAUGCCUUACACAUGCAAGUCGAACGGCAGCGGGGACUUCGGUCCGCCGGCGAGUGGCGAACGGGUGAGUAAUGUAUCGGAACGUACCAUUCAGUGGGGGAUAACUAUCCGAAAGGAUAGCUAAUACCGCAUAUUCUGUGAGCAGGAAAGCAGGGGAUCGCAAGACCUUGCGCUGAUUGAGCGGCCGAUAUCAGAUUAGCUAGUUGGUGAGGUAACGGCUCACCAAGGCUACGAUCUGUAGCGGGUCUGAGAGGAUGAUCCGCCACACUGGGACUGAGACACGGCCCAGACUCCUACGGGAGGCAGCAGUGGGGAAUUUUGGACAAUGGGCGCAAGCCUGAUCCAGCCAUGCCGCGUGAGUGAAGAAGGCCUUCGGGUUGUAAAGCUCUUUCGGCCGGGAAGAAAUCGCAUCAGCUAAUACCUGGUGUGGAUGACAGUACCGGAAUAAGAAGCACCGGCUAACUAUGUGCCAGCAGCCGCAGUAAAAC
rnacentral:rRNA from 1 species